UUGUCAUCACCAUUCACCUCUCUACUCUGUAAACACACACCAUGCACUCUUUCACUGACAAAAUUUUAAAAUACAAAUUUGUUUGGUGGCAGAUAGCUAAAACACCCAUGCAUGUAUUCCUCAUUUCAAUCCCUGUUUUCAGGUGAUCUAACAACGUACACUAAUGGCAAUGUCAGAAAACUUUACAUUUACUUCAUUCAAUACUAUGAGCUGCUGGGUGUUCUCUUCUUUAUUAUACUUGUCGGGAUUUUAAACUUACAGAUAGAAUUUCUGAGCUGUACACCUGUUUUUUCCAUCAACAAAAACUAGGAUUUCGUUCACUUUAUACCGAACCUCCGGAAGGCUCUCACGGAAGCAGAACCGAAGGUCUUUCGAUCUCGAGACUCAAAUUAACUCUCCAAAUCAUCGAUUUUGGGAGAAAGUCGUUGGAUUCUGCCACCUUGAUGAUCGAUUUCUCCUUCAAUUCGUCGAUUCCACCCUAAAUCGUCGAUUCUGAAAAGUUACUUGCAUCCAGUCUGUCCAUCAUAAUAUAAUUAAUGGUUCAGUCACGAUCUUCACCGCAGAUGUCGCCUCCUGAGGCCCUAAUAAAAGGGGACCCUCGGAGCACAUCUAAAGCACCAAUUCCACACCUUCUAUAGUGACAUAUAUAUACGGAGCAAUCGUCGAUU
rnacentral:lncRNA from 1 species